AUUGAACGCUGGCGGAAUGCUUUACACAUGCAAGUCGAACGGCAGCACGGACUUCGGUCUGGUGGCGAGUGGCGAACGGGUGAGUAAUGUAUCGGAACGUGCCCAGUCGUGGGGGAUAACGUAGUGAAAAUUACGCUAAUACCGCAUACGAUCUAUGGAUGAAAGCGGGGGAUCGCAAGACCUCGCGCGAUUGGAGCGGACGAUAUCAGAUUAGGUAGUUGGUGGGGUAAAGGCCCACCAAGCCAACGAUCUGUAGCUGGUCUGAGAGGACGACCAGCCACACUGGAACUGAGACACGGUCCAGACUCCUACGGGAGGCAGCAGUGGGGAAUUUUGGACAAUGGGCGAAAGCCUGAUCCAGCCAUUCCGCGUGCAGGAUGAAGGCUCUCGGGUUGUAAACUGCUUUUGUACAGAACGAAAAGGUUUCUACUAAUACUAGGAGCUCAUGACGGUACUGUAAGAAUAAGCACCGGCUAACUACGUGCCAGCCGCCGCGGUAA
rnacentral:rRNA from 1 species